CAAAUUCAUUUUGGAACUGAAUUCUCGUGGGUCUGCACUGACAACACUGACCUGCUGCUGCUGCUGCUCUCCAGUUUGGCCAAUUUUGUUAAUUUUGAAAUUGAAAUUUUGUAGCACCAUGAGAUUCAGCUCUGGCGUGAAUUUC
rfam:Drosophila ananassae strain TSC#14024-0371.13 Ctg01_19550, whole genome shotgun sequence.